CGGAGUGUGGCGCAGCCUGGUAGCGCACUUGCAUGGGGUGCAAGGGGUCGCAGGUUCGAAUCCUGUCACUCCGACCA
rnacentral:tRNA from 2 species